UAUGGCAGAUUAGUGCAAUGGAUUUAAACUCCUUUUAUAAAGAUCAAUUCUUUUAUUAAAAUUUAAUUCUUCAAAAUUAUUAUAUACACUAAAUUUUUAUAUACUUAAAUUAAUUUUAAUAAAUUAUAUAAAUAGAUUUUAAAUCUAUCACUAAAGAAAUUCUUUUAUUAAAU
rnacentral:tRNA from 1 species